UAUAAACAAAAGACAUUCUUCUCAGAGAUGGCCUUAUUAAUCAGUUUAUUAUUCAAUGGGUCAGAAUUUGCAUUUUGAACAUAUCACUUUCUACCAUGCGUGCUGUUACUUAGUUGUGUGACUUACGUUGUCUACCAAAGUGAAAGCUUCUGAAGAUACCAUCACAGAGACCAGUACAGGGCCUCGCCCAACAUGGUCUCAGUAAAUAUCUCAAGAAUAAAUAAAGAGUGGGAAGAUGACACAGAGCGAGUCUGUUGAUAUCUACAAAAUAUGUUAUUUAACCUGGCAAUUCUCUAAUACCAACUUUUCUCCUGGGCUGGACACCAGCCUUUCCAAAUGGCUGAUUGAACUCUUCCCAUGAAUGAGCUGCCAGCGCCGUAUGGAAAAUGUUAUCUGUAGAAGGAACAAAAGUCAAACAUAUGAUGUGUCAACGAAUGACUUUCACUUUGAUUUUGAAAACACCACCAAGAGUUUGGAAUGGAAAGUGUGGAGGUGCUAUUUUGGAACAAAUGGAAGAAAUAGAAGAAGAAAGGCAACAGAUAUGCAUGGAAACUUAAGAUCUGUCUAG
rnacentral:lncRNA from 1 species